GGUUGAUCCUGCCAGUAGUCAUAUGCUUGUCUCAAAGAUUAAGCCAUGCAUGUCUCAGUACAAGCCAAAUUAAGGUGAAACCGCGAAAGGCUCAUUAAAUCAGUUAUGGUUCCUUAGAUCGUACCCACAAUUACUUGGAUAACUGUGGUAAUUCUAGAGCUAAUACAUGCAAACAGAGCUCCGACCGGAGACGGAAGGAGUGCUUUUAUUAGAUCAAAACCAAUCGGUGGCGGGUUCGCUCGUCAUCGUACAACUUGGUGACUCUGAAUAACUUUACGCUGAUCGCACGGUCACCGCACCGGCGACGCAUCUUUCAAAUGUCUGCCUUAUCAACUGUCGAUGGUAGGUUCUGCGCCUACCAUGGUUGUAACGGGUAACGGGGAAUCAGGGUUCGAUUCCGGAGAGGGAGCCUGAGAAACGGCUACCACAUCCAAGGAAGGCAGCAGGCGCGCAAAUUACCCACUCCCGGCACGGGGAGGUAGUGACGAAAAAUAACGAUACGGGACUCAUCCGAGGCCCCGUAAUCGGAAUGAGUACACUCUAAACCCUUUAACGAGGAUCAAUUGGAGGGCAAGUCUGGUGCCAGCAGCCGCGGUAAUUCCAGCUCCAAUAGCGUAUAUUAAAGUU
rnacentral:rRNA from 1 species